GGCCUAACACAUGCAAGUCGAGGGGCAGCACAAGGAGCAAUCUGAGGUGGCGACCGGCGCACGGGUGAGUAACACGUAUGCAACCUGCCUGUAAGCGGGGAAUAACCCGUUGAAAGACGGACUAAUACCGCAUAAUACUAAAUUACUGCAUGGUAAUUUAUUUAAACAUUUAUGGCUUACAGAUGGGCAUGCGCAUGAUUAGCUAGUUGGAGAGGUAACGGCUCCCCAAGGCAACGAUCAUUAGGGGUUCUGAGAGGAAGGUCCCCCACACUGGUACUGAGACACGGACCAGACUCCUACGGGAGGCAGCAGUGAGGAAUAUUGGUCAAUGGACGAGAGUCUGAACCAGCCAAGUCGCGUGCAGGAAGAAUGUUCCCUAUGGAUUGUAAACUGCUUUUGCAGGGGAAUAAAGUGCAUCACGUGUGAUGUUUUGUAUGUACUCUGCGAAUAAGGAUCGGCUAACUCCGUGCCAGCCGCCGC
rnacentral:rRNA from 1 species